UAUAGCGCAGCCACAACACGUGGGUGAUAGACGCGAUUGGCGGGGGACAUGUACACACGCGGAUCACAAGCAGGAUACGCCGCCUGGAAGGACUCCUGGUUUGGACUAUAUCAUGGAUGUGAUCCUUUCAAGAUGCACCUCAAAGAAGAAAGCUGUGCGGUGGGAAUGAGGUGAUGUCAUGGCAAGCCCACCAGCAGCAGAUGGAUGAAGAUCCACCUGACAUCAGGACAGUUGGUGGCUGAUAUUCAUGGGGACUGGUCACAGUGGCUGGACCAUGCAGGUAACACGGGUACAGCUGCACUUACCCGGGUAAACAGAGUAACGUGAGUCAUCUGUGUCCUGGGUGGUCGUCCUGUUUGAUUGAUCAGAUGCAAACGUUCACCUUCUGAUGGAGCGCAGGUGCAGUGGUGAUUUGUUUUGAUCAGAGAUCCAUGACAAUGCAUAUCCCGGGAGCAUAUAAUUUUGUGAUAAAAGUACAUAAUUGUCUGAAGGCUGGACCUGACAUUAUUCCGGACAUUGUAACAACAUGACUCAAUGACAGAGUACAGAAAUGCUAUCCGAAUCUGCAGCUGCUACUUAACAUAUGCUAACAUUCCCCCCACACCAGGACACCUGGAUAGUUCUUGGAACAGGUACAUACCCAUCUCCCGGGACUCAUGGAUAGUUCUUGGAACAGGUACAUACCCAUCACCCAGGACACAUGGAUAGUUCUUGGAACAGGUACAUCCCCAUCACCCAGGACACAUGGAUAGUUCUUGGAACAGGUAAAUACCCAUCACCCAGGACACAUGGAUAGUUCUUGGAACAGGUACAUCCCCAUCACCCAGGACACAUGGAUAGUUCUUGGAACAGGUACAUACCCAUCACCCAGGGCACCUGGAUAGUUCUUGGAACAGGUACAUACCCAUCUCCCGGGACACAUGGAUAGUUCUUGGAACAGGCAUAUAUUCAUCAACCAGGACACCUGGAUAGUUCUUGGAAAAGGUACAUACCUAUCACCCAGGACACAUGGAUAGUUCUUGGAACAGGUACAUACCCAUCACCCAGGGCACCUGGAUAGUUCUUGGAACAGGUACAUACCCAUCCCACAGGAUCACUGGAUGGUUCUUGGAACAGGUACAUGCCAAUCACCCAGAACACUUGGAUGAAUACUGUAACAGGUACAUGCCCAUCACCCAUGACACCUGAGUGGAUACUGUAACAGGUACACACUCAAUAACAUGACAUUGAACCUUUAGCCAUUCACCAUGAAUGCGUUCGAUGGCCAAGCAUGGGUAUACAUCAAACAUUUCCAGCAAAGUUACUGAUGCAUAGUGAAUGUUCAGAUAUUUAUAGUCAUUUAUGACUGGGUUUAACUUCCAUGUUAAACGACAGUGUCUGACUGAUUCUGAUAUUGCAUAAUGUUUUCUAGUUGUUUCUAAUGAUUAAUAUUACUUUAUAGUCAAGGAAUGUCAAAAUAUAAGCUUUAGGAAGGGACCAGUGGCAUCCUCGGGGGAGGAGAGUUGAGCCAGUACUAUUUGUGAUUACUGAAUUAUGCUGAAAAUAUGUUGUUUAACUGAUAUUGCCGUGUUGGUGGGAACAUAAAUAACUUUGAUAUUUUACAAAGUAAGGGCGGAACACAAGAACAAGGCUGUUGUUUAUUUAGUCAAGAGGCCUAAAACAAUUUACUGCCGAUGUCAGAUCGGUUCUGCUUUGUCCUUCCUCCACCCUCUACUGUACACUUUGGCCGUGACCUUGAGAUUUCAACCUUGAACUUUUAAAACUUGCCAUGGUGUGAAUGACAAUCAUACAAUUAUAUUUAGUUAAACUAAAGUCGAGUCUGCUAUA